UACGAAGGGGGCUAGCGUUGUUCGGAAUUACUAGGCGUAAAGCGCGCGCAGGCGGUCUUCCAAGUCAGUGGUGAAAGCCCGGAGCUCAACUCCGGAACUGCCAUUGAAACUGUUGGACUUGAGUACGAGAGAGGUGAGUGGAAUUCCCAGUGUAGAGGUGAAAUUCGUAGAUAUUGGGAAGAACACCGGUAGCGAAGGCGGCUCACUGGCUCGUAACUGACGCUCAGGCGCGACAGCGUGGGGAUCAAACAGG
rnacentral:rRNA from 1 species